AUGCGCCAUGUUCUGUGCCAGACUUCGCCCGGGAACGACUCCGGGAUGCAUGGGGGACGCAUUCAUGCUCACAUGGAAUCAAGGCCUCCUUUAUGCGUUCCCACCAAUACCGAUGAUCCCAAAGGCAGUGGCGAAAGCUUUAUCGGACAAAGCAAACUGCAUUCUGGUGACCCCUUGGUGGCCGCGGCAGCACUGGUUCACAGUGCUCCUCCACGCAGCACAAGGGGACUACAUCUACCUAAGCCGCAGACCAGACCUACUAUCUGUCCAAGGCGGCCAGGUUUACCAUCCGGACCUGGCCUCGCUGCACCUAACAGCGUGGAGGCUCCGCCCCCCGUCAUGCUGUCAGGGGCAGUCAGAGCCAUAAUCGAGGCAGCCCAGAAGACAUCGACUAGAAAAGCUUACCAAUACAAAUGGGCCCGCUUCGCCAAAUUUCUUGGACCUCAGGGCCUGGACCCAUAUUCAGCUCCCAUUCCGGUAAUCUUAGACUUCCUGGUCCACUUGUCAUCUGCAGGCCUCUCACUCUCAUCCCUCAAGACUUACCUGGCUGCGAUAUCCUGGCAUAGGAGGAAAAAAGGGUCACCCUCCUGCUUCCAUGACCCACUGGUCAGACUAUUCCUCAAAGGCUUCACGAAUUUGCAUCCCCCAGCUUCGCCACCCUGUCCAGCAUGGAGUCUGGAGCUAGUGCUAUCCCAAUUGUCUAAACCCCCUUUUGAACCUAUGGCCACAUGUGACUUAUCCCAUCUGUCGUGGAAAACUGCUUUCCUGGUGGCCAUUACUUCAGCGAGACGUGUGAGUGAAAUCUGCGCACUGAGGUCGGACCCACCAUAUCUUCGAUUUCACAAAGAGAAAGUUACCUUACGCCCGGACAUCAAGUUCCUCCCCAAAGUAGUCUCCAGCUUCCACCUUUCUCAGGAUAUCUCACUGCCAGCCUUUUUUCAGAACCCGACCUCUCCCCUGGAAGUGGCCCUUCAAUCCCUAGAUGUGAGACGAGCCCUGGCGUUCUAUACCAAUAGAACAGCCCCACACAGAAAAUCUGUAAAGCUCUUCCUCAAAUACAGGAAAGAUGCACUAGGGAUGCCAGUCUCCACACAAAGAAUGUCCUCCUGGAUCGUAUCGACAAUUAGAUUGGCCUACCAGUUGGCGGGCAAGGACCCCCCAUCACAAGUCCUGGCGCAUUCCACUAGGGCUGUAGCGACCUCGCAGGCAUUCCUCAGAGGCAUUCCAGUUGAUGACAUCUGCCGGGCGGCGACUUGGUCCACUCCACUGACUUUCACCGCCCACUACAAACUAGACGCAGUGGCCAGGAGAGAUGCGGCUUUUGGCAGAGCAGUGCUGUCAUCGUGCCUCGCAUGA
rnacentral:lncRNA from 1 species